AGUGAACGCUGGCGGUAGGCCUAACACAUGCAAGUCGAACGGCAGCACAGGAGAGCUUGCUCUCUGGGUGGCGAGUGGCGGACGGGUGAGGAAUACAUCGGAAUCUACCUUUUCGUGGGGGAUAACGUAGGGAAACUUACGCUAAUACCGCAUACGACCUACGGGUGAAAGUGGGGGACCGCAAGGCCUCACGCGAUUCGAUGAGCCGAUGUCCGAUUAGCUAGUUGGCGGGGUAAUGGCCCACCAAGGCGACGAGCGGUAGCUGGUCUGAGAGGAUGAGCAGCCACACGGGAAGUGAGACACGGUGCAGACUCCUACGGGAGGCAGCAGUGGGGAAUAUUGGACAAUGGGCGCGAGCCUGAUCCAGCCAUACCGCGUGGGUGAAGAAGGCCUUCGGGUUGUAAAGCCCUUUUGUUGGGAAAGAAAUCCUAUCGGUUAAUAACCGGUGGGGAUGACGGUACCUGGAGAAUAAGCCCCGGCUAACUUCGUGCCAGCCGCCGCAGUAAAAC
rnacentral:rRNA from 1 species